rnacentral:rRNA from 1 species
UGAGUAACCUGCCCUUAACUCUGGGAUAAGCCUGGGAAACUGGGUCUAAUACCGGAUAUGACUCCUCAUCGCAUGGUGGGGGGUGGAAAGCUUUAUUGUGGUUUUGGAUGGACUCGCGGCCUAUCAGCUUGUUGGUGGGGUGAUGGCCUACCAAGGCGACGACGGGUAGCCGGCCUGAGAGGGCAACCGGCCACACUGGGACUGAGACACGGCCCAGACUCCUACGGGAGGCAG